rnacentral:tRNA from 1 species
AGUGCGUUAGUUCAGUUGGUUAGAAUACUAGACUGUCACUCUAGGGGUCGCGAGUUCGAGUCUCGUACGCACUG